AGUGGCGGACGGGUGAGUAACGCGUGGGUAAUCUGCCCGUGAGAGGGGGAUAACACCGUGAAAACGGUGCUAAUACCGCAUGACAUCGUCGACUCAAACGAGACGGCGGUCAAAGGAGUAAUCCGCUCACGGAUGAGCCCGCGUCUGAUUAGCUAGUUGGCAGGGUAACGGCCUACCAAGGCAGCGAUCAGUAGCCGGCCUGAGAGGGUGACCGGCCACACUGGAACUGAGACACGGUCCAGACUCCUACGGGAGGCAGCAGUGGGGAAUCUUCCGCAAUGGGCGAAAGCCUGACGGAGCAACGCCGCGUGAGUGAGGAAGGCCUUCGGGUUGUAAAACUCUGUCAUCAGGGAAGAAACAAAUGACGGUACCUGAGGAGGAAGCCACGGCUAACUACGUGCCAGCAGCCGCGGUAAUACGUAGGUGGCGAGCGUUGUCCGGAAUUACUGGGCGUAAAGAGCGCGUAGGCGGGGAUUUAAGUCAGGAGUGAAAACUAUCGGCUCAACCGGUAGCCUGCUCUUGAAACUGGAUUUCUUGAGGGUAUGAGAGGAGAGCGGAAUUCCCAGUGUAGCGGUGAAAUGCGUAGAUAUUGGGAGGAACACCAGUGGCGAAGGCGGCUUUCUGGCAUACAACUGACGCUGAGGCGCGAAAGCGUGGGGAGCGAACGGGAUUAGAUACCCCGGUAGUCCACGCCGUAAACGAUGGGCACUAGUGUAGGAGGUAUCGACCCCUUCUGUGCCGUAGUUAACACAAUAAGUGCCCCGCCUGGGGAGUACGGCCGCAAGGUUGAAACUCAAAGGAAUUGACGGGGGCCCGCACAAGCGGUGGAGUAUGUGGUUUAAUUCGACGCAACGCGAAGACCUU
rnacentral:rRNA from 1 species